GAUGAAGAACGUAGUGAAAUGCGAUAAGUAAUGUGAAUUGCAGAAUUCAGUGAAUCAUCGAAUCUUUGAACGCACAUUGCGCCCGCCAGUAUUCUGGCGGGCAUGCCUGUUCGAGCGUCAUUUCAACCCUCAAGACCCCUUCGGGGGACUUGGUGUUGGGGACCGGCACAGGGGCCUGCCUGCUUGUCUUGCAGCGCCCUCGCCGCCCCCGAAAUGAAUUGGCGGCCUCGUCGCGGCCUCCCCUGCGUAGUAGCACAAACCUCGCAACGGGAACGUGACGGCGGCCACUGCCGUAAAAUAACCCAAUUUUAUUAGAGUUGACCUCGAAUCAGGUAGGAAUACCCGCUGAACUUAAGCAUAUCAAUAAGCGGAGGA
rnacentral:misc_RNA from 1 species